GUAGGUGGCAAGCGUUGUCCGGAAUUAUUGGGCGUAAAGCGCGCGCAGGCGGUUCUUUAAGUCUGAUGUGAAAGCCCACGGCUCAACCGUGGAGGGUCAUUGGAAACUGGAGAACUUGAGUACAGAAGAGGAAAGCGGAAUUCCACGUGUAGCGGUGAAAUGCGUAGAGAUGUGGAGGAACACCAGUGGCAAAGGCGGCUUUCUGGUCUGUAACUGACGCUGAGGCGCGAAAGCGUGGGGAGCAAACAGGAUUAGAUACCCUGGUAGUCCACGCCGUAAACGAUGAGUGCUAAGUGUUAGGGGGGUUUUCCGCCCCCCUUAGUGCUGCAGCUAACGCAUUAAGCACUCCGCCUGGGAGUACGGCCGCAAGGCUG
rnacentral:rRNA from 1 species